rnacentral:snRNA from 1 species
AGCUUUCUGAGAAAGUGGCAGUAUCGUAGCCAAUGAGGUUAAUCCGAGGCGCGAUUAUUGCUAGUUGUAAACUCUGAGUCUCUGCUCUUCAGGGAAGCUCUUUUCUUUGUGUCAGUGACAAAUGCCUCUCUUAUUUAUGUAUUUCUAUUUUAGA